CUCUAUGCGGUCCUCAUUGUACAUGCUGUGUGUAUCUUUAUUACAUACACAGCGCAUGCAAUGUGGACAUCAUGGAG
rnacentral:pre_miRNA from 1 species